CUGCUCACUUUGGCAGCACAUACACUAAAAUUAGAAUGAUACAGAGAAAUGUUGCAUGACCCAUGUUCAAGGAUAAUACUCAAAUUUGUCAAGUGUUCCACAUUUUU
ensembl:snRNA U6 U6 spliceosomal RNA